rnacentral:lncRNA from 1 species
ACGUCCGGCUUCCUUUCGAUGUCGACGGGAGGAAACUGUCACGCAGGCCACCAACCGGCGGUGGAGGGCGCGGUGCCGAGUCCUGCCACUGCAGGGUCGCCCCGCUGGCUCAAGCUCUAGAAGCGUAGACCUCCCCAGCCGCAAAAAGCAACUCACGCGGCGAAACCGCGGACUCUUUUGACCCUUCCGAGCUACCAUUUACUUUCCAUAGAGGGGCGGGACUUCCUGUUUCGCUUUUAUCUGUAAGACCGACUUCCGGCCUUCAAGGGCAAGAGGGGUAUAUACGUAUAUAUCAUCGCACGGUGUGUCCCGGAAGGCUUGAUAUGCUAGUCCCGCGGGACAAGGCGAGCCGAGGAGUUUGUGUGGAAGUUUGCAUCUGAGAGUGCGAGAGCUGGACGGAGUGUUACAGAGCCGCGAUGCCUUCUCGUUUUGUUUUGUUUUGUUUUUGAUACAGUGUCUCGCUCUUCCGCCCAGUCUCGAGUGCAGUGGUGAGAACACGGCUUACUGCAGCCUCAAAAUCCUGGACCCAAAAGAUCCUCCCACCUCAGCCUGCCUCCCAGGUAGCUGGGACUACAGGCGCACAACACCAUCGCUUCUUGGAUUAAAAGAAAAGGAUGAAACGGGCCCCAGAAAGAGGCGGUGACGUCCCAGAACCCAUGGCAGGGGAGUUGGGAAAAUAAAUAUUUGUAUUGUUUUAAUCUCCCUUGUGGCUUUUUUUAACCCCCGAAACAGCAAGGUAUUUUUAAAAGGGAUGAAGAGAGUUGCUUCAAAUGUUUUGAGACGUUGUUAUUUUUAAUAUGUGAGUGAAUAUCUUAGAAACAAAAUGAACAAGAAAUAAAAAUUUUAGAAAAUAUAUGA